CAGUCGCCGCGGGAAUACAGAGGGUGCGAGCGUUAAUCGGAUUUACUGGGCGUAAAGCGCGCGUAGGUGGUUUGGUAAGAUGGAUGUGAAAUCCCCGGGCUCAACCUGGGAACUGCAUCCAUAACUGCCUGACUAGAGUACGGUAGAGGGUGGUGGAAUUUCCUGUGUAGCGGUGAAAUGCGUAGAUAUAGGAAGGAACACCAGUGGCGAAGGCGACCACCUGGACUGAUACUGACACUGAGGUGCGAAAGCGUGGGGAGCAAACAGGAUUAGAUACCCCCGUAGUCCCUGUCUCUUAUAC
rnacentral:rRNA from 1 species